AUUUCGAUGUGUUGCAAACGGAAUGACUAAAUGAAUAUACUCCCUAUCCUACGGUGGUGGGUAUAAAAAUUCGGGACGAUGGUAGAUACAAUUGAAUCCGACCAUAUCGAUUUUCAUACGCGGGUAUGUAAACAAUUGCAGUUUACAACACUUUAGACUCUGGGCCUGGUUUUUGGACCCAAAACCCCCCUUUUCUUGUUUUAUGACCCCUUGUCACCACCUAUUCUUACAGGUGCAUGGUGUUCUUAUUAUCAGAUUCAAUACGUUAUAAUUGUUAAUCAGCGAAUAAUAACAAUAUAUUAUUGACAGAUUAUUUGAACAAGUGAGGCUCUGUUCAAUAUGGAAUUGCUACGAAUUUUAAUUGAAAACAGUUAUUGAAUUAUUAUUCGACAAUGCCAACAUUUUGCCUCCACGACCUAUAAAUAGAUCGAAAUGCUAGGUAAAAAGUCUAGAAAACAUCUUUAUAUAAUGCAUUCAUAUUCAGGCUUAAUAUUGUUCUGCCUUGCAUUAAUAUGUGGUUUAAUGGGUAUUGAGGGUAACCAACGUUGUUUCAAGACAUGUACCGGUGAUCUUAAUCCUGUAUGUGGCGAACUGAGAGGACUUGGACCAAUGGUGGUUAAAUGUACCUUCCCAAAUUUGUGUUUGUUUGAAAUGCACAAAUGUUGGACCACACUUCCUUGGACUCGUAGUGAUGGUGCUUGUCCAAAUGGAAUUCCCACUUGUAGUAUCGCAGGGCCUUGAAAAAAACUUAAAAUAUUCUUAAUUUUAUUCUUAUAAAGAAUUUUAUAAACACAAACAAUGCUAUUACACACAAAAACAUAAAACGUUUGGAACUUUAAUAAGACAAACAGUAUAUUGUACUUGUA
rnacentral:sRNA from 1 species